rnacentral:misc_RNA from 1 species
AUCAUGGCCUUGUACAGCUGAAGGUGAGAGGGGUCGUCGGCGAAUAUCUCGUCGGGGGUGGGGAAGGCAGGGCCCUUGUCGAGCUUGCAGCAGGCGCCGCAGCCAGGGGCGCACUGCCACUUGGCGUCGGCCUUCCGCCCAGCUCCGCCGAACCCUAGGCUUUUGGGUGCGGUUGUCUCUUUCUUGCAUCUCACCACCACCGCCGCCACCGCCGGCGGCAGCAGCUUCGCACCCAAUACCAACAUAGUGAGGAU